GGAAGGAUCAUUCACACUUACUUUUGGCCGAUCAACCAUGAACCUGUCGCCUUUCGGCCUCUCUUUUCACAGCGUAUCGAUUGAUGCGUGGCGGUUUUCGUGACGCGCCAGGUGAUAGAGGCGGAUUGGUUACUACUGUGGCAGAGUUAAGAUUUGAAGGAACAAUUUUUCUUAUUAAUUUCAGCGAUGGACGUCUUGGUUCCCUAAUCGAUGAAGGACGCAGUGAAUUGCGAUAAGCAGUGCGAAUUGCAGAAAUCUGUGAAUCAUCAGACCUCUGAACGCAUAUGGCGCUGCUGCAACUCGUUUGUGCAGCGUGUUUGGCUCAGUGUCUUUCAGCAUCAAUUAUAAGGCAAGUGGUGGCGUCGUGCGCAUUGGCUUGGCUAACGCGCUGCGUCGUCGGGAAACAGUGGUUAUGCUACAGUGGUGCUUGCAAUCAGCUGGAGGUUUUCCUGUCUAUUGUGGGUGCUGUCGUGGUUUUGUUUCUUGAUACUGACCUGAGCUCAAGCAAGAUGACCCGCUAAAUUUAAGCAUAUCAUUAAGCGGAGGAAAAGAAACUAAGCAGGAUUCUCUUAGUAGUUGCGAAUGAACAGAGAAUAGCUCAAAAUGAAAAUCACGCGCUUCUAGUGCGUGAAUUGUAGUCUGAAGGAGUGUUGCCUGUGGACGUCGCAGGGAAAAGUCUCUUGGAAGAGAACGCCAGAGAGGGUGAGAGUCCCGUCGCUGCCCUGCUAUACGUUCACAUACGGAGCACGUUCUUAGAGUCGCGUUUCUUGGGAGUGAAACGCAAAUUGGGUGGUAAACUUUAUCUAAGGCUAAAUAUUCUGUGGGAAACCGAUAGCAAAUAAGUACCUUGAGGGAAAGAUGAAAAGGACUUUGAAAAGAGAGUUAAAAUUCCCCGAAAUUGCUGAAAUGGAAGCGGUUGAAACUCAUCGAGUGUACCUUGGGAGUUUAGGAAUGCUGCGACAGAACUAACAUCGCAAUCACAAUCGGUUUGCGGUGUUAGCGUUGUUGUGGCGCUCUGAUUCUCGCGAGUGGAUUCAGCUGUGGUUUUGGUGCCAUUAACUGAGUGUUAUAACGGGCGUGUCUUUCGAGGCCGUUGCGGUUUUAACCCCCUAUUAGGUGGCAGAGAUCAAGGGAAUCACAUGCUGGCACAGCUUCGGCGUCCAGCAGGGUGGCAGCUGAUAUACAGUUUUUACCGACCCGUCUUGAAACACGGAUCAAGGAGUCCAACAGAUAUGCGGGUCCGGGGGCGGCAAACCCACGGGCAGAAUGAAAGUAACAGUUCCUAGCCGGAACAACCGACCACAAUCUCUGAGAGAGGUUUGAGUAGGAGCAUAUCUGUUGGGACCCGAAAGAUGGUGAACUAUUCCUGAAUAGGGUGAAGCCAGGGGAAACCCUGGUGGAGGCUCGUAGCGAUACUGACGUGCAAAUCGUUCGUCAAAUUUGGGUAUAGGGGCGAAAGACUAAUCGAACCAUCUAGUAGCUGGUUCCCUC
rnacentral:misc_RNA from 1 species